UAAAAUUAAGGAGGUUUGCUAAUUCUAUGAUUUACCCAUAUAUAUCUAUUUUUUUUUAAUUCUUCUGAUCAUAUUGUGAGGAGCGACUUUGUCAUUGUGUAUUUUGCGCUCGUUUGGUGACGGAUUUCUUCUUGAAGGCCUCUCUAUCUGUUCUUUUUUUUUCAGAACACAGAGAAUAUUUUCCAAACCCUUGCCUUUCACUCCCUCCGAUUACAGACCUGAGCGCUCCUAAGAAGUGUCGAGCGCGCUUUGGGCUCGAUCAACAGAAUAACUGGUGUGGCCCGUGCAGG